UUUGAAAUCAUCACAAUAGAGUCUAGGAAACAGGUGAGCCGCCAUAUAGUCAAAAAGACGUGGUUGAGGACGGGACCAAAAAGAAUGCGCCUUAAGGAAAGCUAUCCCAAAAGCAUGAAGAGAGAUGAGCAGAGGGCUGUUCUACAAAGAAAGGGAGAAUGCCAGUCGCUACAUACGUCAUUACUUCUUUGAGUGGUAUUGGAGACAUCUGGCCAUAGAAGAAUUCUCUCAGAUGUCAGAAAACGUCAUCUGGCCAGUGUUAACAACUGACCCACUUUCACAGACAAGGAAACGUGUGACCUCAAUACCUCCUGGAAGGCGGCCAUUCCAGUUAGCCUAACACCAGUUAAACACAACACAAGUCAACUCAACACACCACAACCCUGUCAACACAUAAUGUCACAUUCAUGUUCUCAGCUUAACAGCUGAUCCGGUAAGUACCAAUGAGGUAAGCAUUUUGCGUGACGUUUUCCUAAGCAAAUAGAAACCUAACUUCCUUAUUGCUGUACGUUGCCCUUGGCAGUGACAACCCUGUAUUUGUCUGUAGAGGCAGAGUUGGUCGUACGUCAGGCUGUCGGCACCCGUAGCUGCUUCAAAACACAACAAGAACAGGACCUGACCCACGGCUGUGUCUCCAGUAGGGUCGGCUUCACCUGUAAACAUUCGAAGACAAAAGGGACGCCCUCUUCCUGAACAACAGAGCUGAACUCUCCCACACAGAGAUAAUUCAGUUUAGGCGGUGGACUGGAGUCGAGAGAUGACUGUGCUAAAAUUAAACGACGGUGCCAGGCCGGUCUGCUGGAGGAAGAGGUAAAAAUAGCCGAGUGGGUAGCGGCCUGUUCACAGACAUUGCUAGCAGAGCAGCACCUACGCAGCAUAAUUGGGAAAUCCUCUUACACUCAUGUAUACACAAUCUGUUCUUUUUUUCUCCAAAAAUGUUUGAUCGUGUUGCAGUCUGUCCGCCUAAAAGUACGCCAUAAACUGUGCCAACAGACCUGUCUAACGGCUGAAGUGUGUUGAAAUGCAAUAUUUCUGCUUGCACGCUAGUUCUUGUCUCUGUCGGUUCAAUUCAGCAUCAAGCCGCUUCUUUGAUCUCGCGGAGCGUUUAUGGUACAGUGUGUGUGUCACCAGAGGCUGGUGAGGAGCCGCAGCAGUAAAGCCACGUUUCAGCUGCGGCAGUGUCAUCCCGUCUUCUGUCAAAUCACGCCGCUAGGCUCAACAGCGCUCCCUCUGGGAGGGACUGGCUCUCUCUCUCGCGCAACAUCGUCAGUGGUUACUCUUAGUCGUGAGCACUCUUAAGGUCAUUUAAGACAUACUGUAGUGGUGCCACGCAAUAACUUUUUUCUCUUUCUUUCAGAGGCGAUGACGAGGCCAACUGCUUUUUUUGUGGGGGGCGUCCGCCCGUCUUGACAUCCUUCAACUCCACCAUUAUCGGUCUGAAUGUGCCCCCCCCCUCCUGGCCCAGAUAAAUUAGGAGCUCUAAUCUGUAAGAGGAUUAAUGCGUCCAUGCUCCUGUAUUCACCUGCCACCUAACUCAGCUCCGCCACCCUUUUGUUACGUCAUCGAGCCACGCCAGACAUCCGGCCUGGAAUGCCCCGUGCUCCAGUUGUCACGGCACCACGCACGCUGCCCCCCCCCCCCAGAGCAGCAUGGGAGAGGUUAGAUCCUCAUCUUGCUGGUAAGACAGAUGUCCACGGAGAUGUCGAAUAAGCCUCUUCUCUCAUCCCGAGGAUUUGAUGUGCAUCUCAGAAAACAAGCAUCCACCGUCCGUGUUGCAUUGGAGCAAUGACAAUUUGGGUGCGUUCAUAGAGGGGUAGAGAGAGUGGCCGGUCUUAAAAGAACAGCGGGUGACGUUUGACACGAGAUCCGAAGUAUAAAGUAACAGAAUGUUUGGUUUGGCUUGAAAAGGGACGGAUGCUCCUUUAAAAGCGGAGGAUGGUCAGGUGACAUGGCGAGCAGAAACAAAGUCAGCUGUAGAGAUAGCAACUGUGAGCAACAGACUGGGAGAAAGGCAAAGAGAAAGAGAGAUAUGGAGAAGGAGGAAUGACUAAAAAGAACUGUGUAUUACAUACAUAAAUUUGAGAAGAGCGAGCGAGAGAGAGAGAGAGAGAGGGGGGGGGGGGAGAGAGGGAGAGAGAGAAGCUUGGCCCUCCAGCUCUAUUGCAGCAGCAGUCGGGAGCUACAGCAGUGAGGCUCGAUGCUGUAAUUGUUCCUGAAGCUUCUGUUAUUCUAUCCAGCUAUGUAAACAGGAACUAUUACUCGAGCUAGGUAGGUAAACAGGAACUAUUUAUUUAACUAGCUAGGGUAGAACUAGAGUAUUACAUUGCUGUGACUCUAGCUAGAUGUGUAAAUGUGUUAUAGUUACGGUCAUGCAAAUGUUGUAUCGUGGCAAAGUGCCCUGCGCUGUGGCGUCACAGCAAGAACAUCCUGAGUCAAUUCCUGUUAAUGUUUGGUGCUUGGGUGGGCUCCCGGGCCUUUCUGUGUGGAGUUUGUAUGUUCUCCCUGUGCUUUCAUGGGUUUACUCCACAAAUAUUUCUGAGUAUAGAAAUAUGCAAAACAGAUAGCUAUUCUGCCAAUGUCCCUGGUCAGGCCUUGGCCACCUUGAUAUGACUUAUCACAACUCCUGGGUGGCCUUGUAGGAAGGACAAGAAAAAUGGGACCAGCAGCGGUUGACCCCACAGCAUGUGUGUGUCCCAUGAUCAAUAAGUGUUUCUUCUUCUUCUAAACAGGAGCUGUGUCUGCAGGAAAGGCUGCUACGUCUCACAGGCAACUGGGAACUUUGGCAAG